CAACGCACUCCUUUCUCGCUGC
rnacentral:miRNA from 1 species